CUCUCCCAGCCCUGAGAUCCUAUUUCUAGUCCCUCUGUGCAGGGAGGGAGUGCUCAGAGCAGUGGAGCAGGAGGGACAGGGAAGAUGGGGAUGCUGGAAAUCAUUCCUCCUCCUCUCUGCUUGCCCUUCCGUGAACUCCUUCCCUCUCCUAGGCCCCUCUACUUGAGCAUCUUAAUCUGAUUCUACAGAGUAAUGUAGUUAGGGGCAUCCCUCUCUUCCUGCCCCAGGUCUCCCAGCACACAUCUUUCCUGAAAUUGACAGAAGGAAGCAAGAGCCCAUCUGUGACACAGGGCAGC
rnacentral:lncRNA from 1 species